AGGACGAACGCUGGCGGCGUGCUUAACACAUGCAAGUCGAGCGGAAAGGCCCUUCGGGGUACUCGAGCGGCGAACGGGUGAGUAACACGUGAGUAAUCUGCCCCUAGCUCUGGGAUAGCUCCGGGAAACCGGGAUUAAUACCAGAUACGACCACUUUAGACAUCUUCUGUGGUGGAAAGAACUUCGGCUAGGGAUGAACUCGCGGCCUAUCAGCUUGUUGGUGAGGUAACGGCUCACCAAGGCGACGACGGGUAGCCGGCCUGAGAGGGCGACCGGCCACACUGGGACUGAGACACGGCCCAGACUCCUACGGGAGGCAGCAGUGGGGAAUAUUGCGCAAUGGGCGAAAGCCUGACGCAGCGACGCCGCGUGGGGGAUGAAGGCCUUCGGGUUGUAACCCUUUCAGCAGGGACGAGCGAAAGUGACGGUACCUGCAGAAGAAGCGCCGGCUAACUACGCGCCAGCAGCCGC
rnacentral:rRNA from 1 species